rnacentral:piRNA from 1 species
UGUGAAGUGUUCACGUGAUUUCGUGGC